GAAGACUUUGCCGGAUUAGCUGAGAGGUGGUGGCAUGGCCGUCGUCAGUUCGUACUGUGAAGCAUCCUGUUAAGUCAGGCAACGAGCGAGACCCACGCCCACAGUUGCCAGCGUACUCUCUGGAGUGACGGGUACACUGUGGGACCGCCGCUGCUAAAGCGGAGGAAGGAAUGGGCAACGGUAGGUCAGUAUGCCCCGAAUAUCCCGGGCUACACGCGAGCUACAAUGGUUGGUACAAUGGGUAUCUACCCCGAAAGGGGACGGGAAUCUCCUAAAACCAAUCUUAGUUCGGAUUGAGGGCUGCAACUCGCCCUCAUGAAGCUGGAAUCCGUAGUAAUCGCGUUUCAACAGAACGCGGUCGUAAAUUACCCGUCCCUGCUCCUU
rnacentral:rRNA from 1 species